GCACUAGUGGGGUAGUGGUAACCUUGGUCGUUGCCAUUUGAUAAGCUCGACUAGCCUCGUGUUCGAUUCACGACUAGUGCA
rnacentral:tRNA from 1 species